rnacentral:rRNA from 1 species
UACGUAGGCAGCGAGCGUUGUUCGGAGUUACUGGGCGUAAAGGGUGUGUAGGCGGUUGUUUAAGUUUGGUGUGAAAGCCCCCGGCUCAACUGGGGAGGGUCACGCGAUACUGAUCGACUCGAAGGCAGGAGAGGGUAGUGGAAUUCCCGGUGUAGUGGUGAAAUGCGUAGAUAUCGGGAGGAACACCAGUGGCGAAGGCGACUACCUGGCCUGUUCUUGACGCUGAGGCGCGAAAGCUAGGGGAGCAAACGGG